CUGACUGCUAUCGGAUGAUACUAAGCCAUGCGAGUCAUUGUAGCAAUACAAGGCAGACGGCUCAGUAACGCGUAGUCAACCUACCCUAUGGACGGGAAUAACCUCGGGAAACUGAGUAUAAUGCCCGAUAGAACAUUAUGCCUGGAAUGGUUUAUGUUCCAAAUGAUUUAUCGCCGUAGGAUGGGACUGCGGCCUAUCAGUUUGUUGGUGAGGUAAUGGCCCACCAAGACUAUUACAGGUACGGGCUCUGAGAGGAGUAGCCCGGAGAUGGGUACUGAGACACGGACCCAGGCCCUAUGGGGCGCAGCAGGCGAGAAAACUUUGCAAUGUGCGAAAGCACGACAAGGUUAAUCCGAGUGGUUUCUGCUAAAGGAACCUUUUGUUAGUCCUAAAAACACUAACGAAUAAGGGGUGGGCAAGUUCUGGUGUCAGCCGCCGCGGUAAAACCAGCACCUCAAGUGGUCAGGAUGAUUAUUGGGCCUAAAGCAUCCGUAGCCUGCUCUGUAAGUUUUCGGUUAAAUCUGUAUGCUCAACAUACAGGCCGCCGGAAAUACUGCAGGGCUAGGGAGUGGGAGAGGUAGACGGUACUCGGGAGGAAGUGGUAAAAUGCUUUGAUCUUUCGAUGACCACCUGUGGCGAAGGCGGUCUACCAGAACACGUCCGACGGUGAGGGAUGAAAGCUGGGGGAGCAAACCGGAUUAGAUACCCGGGUAGUCCCAGCCGUAAACUAUGCAAACUCAGUGAUGCAUUGGCUUGUGGCCAAUGCAGUGUUGCAGGGAAGCCGUUAAGUUUGCCGCCUGGGAAGUACGUACGCAAGUAUGAACUUAAAGGAAUUGGCGGGGGAGCACCACAAGGG
rnacentral:rRNA from 1 species